rnacentral:rRNA from 1 species
AGUGAACGCUGACGGUAGGCCUAACACAUGCAAGUCGAACGGCAGCACAGUAAGAGCUUGCUCUUACGGGUGGCGAGUGGCGGACGGGUGAGGAAUACAUCGGAAUCUACUUUUUCGUGGGGGAUAACGUAGGGAAACUUACGCUAAUACCGCAUACGACCUACGGGUGAAAGCAGGGGAUCUUCGGACCUUGCGCGAUUGAAUGAGCCGAUGUCGGAUUAGCUAGUUGGCGGGGUAAAGGCCCACCAAGGCGACGAUCCGUAGCUGGUCUGAGAGGAUGAUCAGCCACACUGGAACUGAGACACGGUCCAGACUCCUACGGGAGGCAGCGGUGGGGAAUAUUGGACAAUGGGCGCAAGCCUGAUCCAGCCAUACCGCGUGGGUGAAGAAGGCCUUCGGGUUGUAAAGCCCUUUUGUUGGGAAAGAAAAGCAGCAGGUUAAUACCCCGCUGUUCUGACGGUACCCAAAGAAUAAGCACCGGCUAACUUCGUG